rnacentral:rRNA from 1 species
AACGAACGCUGGCGGCAGGCCUAACACAUGCAAGUCGAGCGCGCCCUUCGGGGUGAGCGGCGGACGGGUGAGUAACGCGUGGGAACGUGCCCUUCUCUGCGGAAUAGCCUCGGGAAACUGAGAGUAAUACCGCAUACGCCCUUUGGGGGAAAGAUUUAUCGGAGAAGGAUCGGCCCGCGUUGGAUUAGGUAGUUGGUGGGGUAAUGGCCCACCAAGCCGACGAUCCAUAGCUGGUUUGAGAGGAUGAUCAGCCACACUGGGACUGAGACACGGCCCAGACUCCUACGGGAGGCAGCAGUGGGGAAUCGUAGACAAUGGGGGCAACCCUGAUCUAGCCAGGCCGCGUGAGUGAUGAAGGCCUUAGGGUUGUAAAGCUCUUUCAGCUGGGAAGAUAAUGACGGUACCAGCAGAAGAAGCCCCGGCUAACUCCGUG